rnacentral:rRNA from 1 species
AGAGUUUGAUCAUGGCUCAGAUUGAACGCUGGCGGCAUGCCUUACACAUGCAAGUCGAACGGUAGAGGGGGCAACCCCUCGAGAGUGGCGAACGGGUGAGUAAUAUAUCGGAACGUGCCCAGUCGUGGGGGAUAACGUAGCGAAAGUUACGCUAAUACCGCAUACGAUCUAAGGAUGUAAGCGGGGGAUCGCAAGACCUCGCGCGAUUGGAGCGGCCGAUAUCAGAUUAGGUAGUUGGUGGGGUAAAGGCUCACCAAGCCAACGAUCUGUAGCUGGUCUGAGAGGACGACCAGCCACACUGGAACUGAGACACGGUCCAGACUCCUACGGGAGGCAGCAGUGGGGAAUUUUGGACAAUGGACGCAAGUCUGACCCAGCCAUGCCGCGUGCAGGAUGAAGGCGUUAUGCGUUGUAAACUGCUUUUGUACGGAACGAAAAGGCUCUGGUUAAUACCUGGGGCUCAUGACGGUACCGUAAGAAGAAGCACCGGCUAACUACGUGCCAGCGGCCGCGGUAAUACGUAGGGUGCGAGCGUUAAUCGGAAUUACUGGGCGUAAAGCGUGCGCAGGCGGUUAUGUAAGACAGAUGUGAAAUCCCCGGGCUCAACCUGGGAACUGCGUUUGUGACUGCAUAACUAGAGUACGGCAGAGGGAGGUGGAAUUCCGCGUGUAGCAGUGAAAUGCGUAGAGAUGCGGAGGAACACCGAUGGCGAAGGCAGCCUCCUGGGCCAGUACUGACGCUCAUGCACGAAAGCGUGGGGAGCAAACAGGAUUAGAUACCCUGGUAGUCCACGCCCUAAACGAUGAUAACUAGCUGUCCGGGCUCUCAGAGCUUGGGUGGCGCAGCUAACGCAUUAAGUUAUCCGCCUGGGGAGUACGGUCGCAAGAUUAAAACUCAAAGGAAUUGACGGGGGCCUGCACAAGCGGUGGAGCAUGUGGUUUAAUUCGAAGCAACGCGCAGAACCUUACCAGCGUUUGACAUCCUUGUCGCGGAUAGUGGAGACACUUUCCUUCAGUUCGGCUGGACAAGUGACAGGUGCUGCAUGGCUGUCGUCAGCUCGUGUCGUG